CCUGCUCCCCCUGUGCCCCCCACUGCCUGCCCCUGCUACCCCUGCACUCAUAGGUCUGCGUCAGGGGAGGGUGGUCUGGGCAGCGGGCAGACCCACCUGGACCCUGUUUCCAGGAGUCACAAUUUCACAAGCAGCCCUGCAGCCCGCCGGGGGGACACUGCGCGACACCCCCGCCAGGGUGCCGUCUGGACUCCCAAAUCCUGCUCUCCCAAGUGCCUGCUCUUAGGCUGUGAGGCCCCGACCUGCACGGAACCCCCUCUCUGGUCUCUGCUGCUGAGAACAUAGAGGGGCUGAGCGAGCCGUCAGCCCCCCUUCUUCAUCCCGGGGCCCCCUUCUUCUGCUGACGGACCUGAGGUUUUGUCCCCAUUCUGUCCCCUGCCUCCAUGAUGUCCCCCUCCCAGAUUUCCUUCCCCAGGCCAGGAGGCAGGCCAGGCGGCUCGGUGGGGUGGGGGGUGUCUCCCCGCCUUGGUGGGCACCUAACACACGGGGACUUUGUGGGCAGCGACUCCGGGCCCAGCCAGGGGUUUGGGGUUCAGGACCGCCCCCGCCCCCCCUACCCCCCCGCCGGGCACUGGCAGGUGCCUCCUCCGGGGACAGUUUGGGCGCUGUGGCGGGACAGCCGGCACACCUCAGAGGGACCGCCCCUCCCUGCGGGGGUGUGAGGAGACCCAGGCCGGCCGCCCUCAGCGUGGGACAGCAGGGCGGACCAGCGAGCGGGGAGCCGGGUUGGGCCCCUGAUUCAUGGCCUCUACGGCCACGCCCACCCUGCCCUUCCCGUUUCCGGUGUGAGCCACUCAAACCGCCGUCCUGGACCAGAAAGUCAAGGCCACAACAGCCAGGUUAGCUCUGGGGAGGAACGGCAGACCUUGCCCUGACCUUCAGGGCGGCGGGAACCCAGACGGGGCCCUUCUCGGCUCUGCGCGACCCACGGCCAGAAACCCAGCGGACAUCUGCGCAAACCCCAGGGCCUCUGUUUUAAAAGGUCUUUCUGAAGGACCAUCGGCCCACUGAAAUGUUACUUCUUAGGCCGUUGAAAUACUACGCCCGUGGUGUUUGUCUCCAUGGGUGUUGAGAUUUCGAGCUGUAAAUAAGGAGUUGUGCAUAGGAGCACCAAUGCGUCCUGCUUAACCUUACAAAUAACGCCACGCUGGGGUAACAUGAGAGUCAAAACACUGUAAGUCUCAGAGGAGAAAAGAACCACGUGCAGAGAAGGAUUUCUGCAGCGCCGCACGCCCAGGUGUCACAAAGCCACAUACGAAGUUUCGUGUGAAGAAGGAAAAACGUGAAGGUCAAACCUCAAAGCCAGGCAAGUUUUGAUUCCCGGGUAAAGACAGGCUCGUAUCUUUGAAUCUGAUUCUUGUACUUAGAGUUCUUUAAAAAGAAGAAGAAGAAUUGAGUUAAAAGCAACAGGAAUCCUGUCAAAUCCACAAGAACUCACAAAGCAUAUACCUUUCUGGAAAAAUUCACUUGAAAAUACCCGUCGGUCAAUCGAGAUUAGAAGAAAAAAUCCGCUCAAGAAUGUGAAGGUCAUACAAUGGAGUCACUGGCCAGGAUCACUGAGACCAGUUGAAAUAAAAUUUAAAACUUAUUUAUUAAGAAAAAUUAU
rnacentral:lncRNA from 1 species